GAUUAUGAAUACGCUGUGUGAAUGAAAUGCUUAUUGUAGCAUGGGCUCUUAACUUUUUCUGAGUGAUUGUGAUUGAUAACAGCUGGUGACUUCUCUGGGCCCAUUGUAAUAGGGACUUGUUUGAUGGGCCCAUUAGACUCAGACACAGAUGCUACAAUGGGAAAGUCUAAUGAGCUCAGCUCUGAUCUCAGCAAAGUCACUUGGAGCCAUUUCAAAGCAGUUACAGCUCCCAAGAUCAACUGUACAAACAUCUACAUCUCAAGGUGCAGCCAGAGAUAUCCCACAUGCUUCAAAAAACACCCCCUGUGACGAGCUGGAGGAUCAGCGGGAGGCCAAGGAUUAUUACCUUGCAGUUGUUCACAAAGGAUUUCCACCAUAUCACACAAGAUCCUGGUCCUGGUCUCCUUUUUGGUCUGUCUCCUUAAUAAAAACUCCUCAGCCACAUCAUGAAAGUCCAGGUCUCUGACGAGUUCUGUCUGACGAGUUUUUUUUUUGCCACAGACAGAGUGUUCAAGCGCUGUUGACUCAUCGUUGUCCGCAUUUCACUUUAUCAUUCUCGCUGCGCGGCAAA